ACUCAGUGAAAUUGAACUCGCUGUGAAGAUGCAGUGUACCCGCGGCAAGACGGAAAGACCCCGUGAACCUUUACUAUAGCUUGACACUGAACAUUGAGCCUUGAUGUGUAGGAUAGGUGGGAGGCUUAGAAGUGUGGACGCCAGUCUGCAUGGAGCCGACCUUGAAAUACCACCCUUUAAUGUUUGAUGUUCUAACGUGGACCCGUGAUCCGGGUUGCGGACAGUGUCUGGUGGGUAGUUUGACUGGGGCGGUCU
rnacentral:rRNA from 1 species